rnacentral:rRNA from 1 species
CGCGCAGGCGGGUUGGCAAGUCAGAGGUGAAAUCCUACAGCUUAACUGUAGAACUGCCUUUGAGACUGCUAAUUUUGAGUACGGAAGAGAGAGAUGGAAUUCCAGGUGUAGUGGUGAAAUACGUAGAUAUCUGGAAGAACACCAGUGGCGAAGGCGAUCUCUUGGUCCUUUACUGACGCUAAGGCGCGAAAGCGUGGGGAGCAAACA